rnacentral:rRNA from 1 species
UGGCUCAGGAUGAACGCUGGCGGCGUGCCUAAUACAUGCAAGUCGAGCGAACGGACGAGAAGCUUGCUUCUCUGAUGUUAGCGGCGGACGGGUGAGUAACACGUGGAUAACCUACCUAUAAGACUGGGAUAACUUCGGGAAACCGGAGCUAAUACCGGAUAAUAUUUUGAACCGCAUGGUUCAAAAGUGAAAGACGGUCUUGCUGUCACUUAUAGAUGGAUCCGCGCUGCAUUAGCUAGUUGGUAAGGUAACGGCUUACCAAGGCAACGAUGCAUAGCCGACCUGAGAGGGUGAUCGGCCACACUGGAACUGAGACACGGUCCAGACUCCUACGGGAGGCAGCAGUAGGGAAUCUUCCGCAAUGGGCGAAAGCCUGACGGAGCAACGCCGCGUGAGUGAUGAAGGUCUUCGGAUCGUAAAACUCUGUUAUUAGGGAAGAACAUAUGUGUAAGUAACUGUGCACAUCUUGACGGUACCUAAUCAGAAAGCCACGGCUAACUACGUGCCAGCAGCCGCGGUAAUACGUAGGUGGCAAGCGUUAUCCGGAAUUAUUGGGCGUAAAGCGCGCGUAGGCGGUUUUUUAAGUCUGAUGUGAAAGCCCACGGCUCAACCGUGGAGGGUCAUUGGAAACUGGAAAACUUGAGUGCAGAAGAGGAAAGUGGAAUUCCAUGUGUAGCGGUGAAAUGCGCAGAGAUAUGGAGGAACACCAGUGGCGAAGGCG